GGGGAAACACCACCACACCUCAAAUAAUAACACUGUGUGUCACGGGUAAUAUUUAUGCAGUAUCGGAGAAAGUCCCAACCAACUUGGGUUCUGCUGGAGGACUAUGAUCCAAAUCACAUCAGCAGGUCCACCUCUGAAUGGCUGAAGAAAAAGAAAAUGAAGACUUUGGAGUGAACUAGUCAAAGUCCAGACCUGAAGUGUGCAGAAGGCCAGGAUGCUGGGAAAGAUGGGGAUGCUGAAGAAGAUGAGGAUGCGGAAGAAACUCGGAAGGAGCUGAGGAUGUCCCACUUGACAAAGCUCAAGAACACAAAAAAAGCAGACAUGUCUGGAAAAGCAAGACAAAGAGUUUGAUCGGGACCUGGCUCCUUUUUUUUUUAGGAGAGUGGAAAGUGAAUCUUGAGGGAACAGACCCAAUAGAUUUCUUCCUGUGUAUAUUUCCAGAAGAUCUGAUGGAUUAAGUAGUGCUCAAAUCAAACCUAUAUUCACUGCAAAUUGUGUAUUCAUUACAAAUUGGCCACAUUGUUGUGGUUGGAGUUAA